rnacentral:rRNA from 1 species
UAUAACAAUCGAAACCGCAUGGUUUUGAUUUGAAAGGCGCUUUCGGGUGUCGCUGAUGGAUGGACCCGCGGUGCAUUAGCUAGUUGGUGAGGUAACGGCUCACCAAGGCCACGAUGCAUAGCCGACCUGAGAGGGUGAUCGGCCACAUUGGGACUGAGACACGGCCCAAACUCCUACGGGAGGCAGCAGUAGGGAAUCUUCGGCAAUGGACGAAAGUCUGACCGAGCAACGCCGCGUGAGUGAAGAAGGUUUUCGGAUCGUAAAACUCUGUUGUUAGAGAAGAACAAGGAUGAGAGUAACUGUUCAUCCCUUGACGGUAUCUAACCAGAAAGCCACGGCUAACUACGUGCCAGCAGCCGCGGUAAUACGUAGGUGGCAAGCGUUGUCCGGAUUUAUUGGGCGUAAAGCGAGCGCAGGCGGUUUCUUAAGUCUGAUGUGAAAGCCCCCGGCUCAACCGGGGAGGGUCAUUGGAAACUGGGAGACUUGAGUGCAGAAGAGGAGAGUGGAAUUCCAUGUGUAGCGGUGAAAUGCGUAGAUAUAUGGAGGAACACCAGUGGCGAAGGCGGCUCUCUGGUCUGUAACUGACGCUGAGGCUCGAAAGCGUGGGGAGCAAACAGGAUUAGAUACCCUGGUAGUCCACGCCGUAAACGAUGAGUGCUAAGUGUUGGAGGGUUUCCGCCCUUCAGUGCUGCAGCUAACGCAUUAAGCACUCCGCCUGGGGAGUACGACCGCAAGGUUGAAACUCAAAGGAAUUGACGGGGGCCCGCACAAGCGGUGGAGCAUGUGGUUUAAUUCGAAGCAACGCGAAGAACCUUACCAGGUCUUGACAUCCUUUGACCACUCUAGAGAUAGAGCUUCCCCUUCGGGGGCAAAGUGACAGGUGGUGCAUGGUUGUCGUCAGCUCGUGUCGUGAGAUGUUGGGUUAAGUCCCGCAACGAGCGCAACCCUUAUUGUUAGUUGCCAUCAUUCAGUUGGGCACUCUAGCAAGACUGCCGGUGACAAACCGGAGGAAGGUGGGGAUGACGUCAAAUCAUCAUGCCCCUUAUGACCUGGGCUACACACGUGCU